ACUUCAUAAACAUGUGCCGGUUACCGCCAGCUUCCAAUUCAGCAGCAACAUGGUCCUGUUUCUCAGUAUGGGGGAUUUCUUCCAGUAACUAAGUCUAUCACAGAACUCUAAACAAGUGUCUGUAACCUUCACUGGCAGUGAAAGAACAGCUCUGACUGUAUCUGCGCCAUUUGACGUUUCUCUUCAUCCCAAAGGCUGUUCAGCACUCUGAACAUGCCUUCCAAUGGACUGUUUGUUCCUAGGUACCCCUGAGGUCCCACUGCUGUGAUUUCUGAGCACCUCACAAUCUCCAGUGCAUUUAAAUCUUACUACACCUCUGUGAGGUAUUGUUAGGCUCAUUUUACCAGUGGCGGGCGGAGGCUCAGACUGACUUGACCAAAGUCACACACGGAGCCUCACAGUGGAGCAGGGAAUUGAACCCACAUCUCCUGAGUUCUAGGUAUAAAAAACCCAGAAUGGUUUGACUGAUUCAGUGAAAACCCAGGAUACUCCAGGAGUCCCAGAAGAAGUUCCGGGCAUGCUAUAUGAAUAACUGGGCCUACCCCAGUAAAACUGG